GUGGGGAAUCUUAGACAAUGGGCGCAAGCCUGAUCUAGCCAUGCCGCGUGAGCGAUGAAGGCCUUAGGGUUGUAAAGCUCUUUCGUGGGGGAAGAUAAUGACUGUACCCCAAGAAGAAGCCCCGGCUAACUCCGUGCCAGCAGCCGCGGUAAUACGGAGGGGGUUAGCGUUGUUCGGAAUUACUGGGCGUAAAGCGCACGUAGGCGGACUGGAAAGUCAGGGGUGAAAUCCCGGGGCUCAACCCCGGAACUGCCGUUGAAACUCCCAGGCUUGAGUUCGAGAGAGGUGAGUGGAAUUCCGGGUGUAGAGGUGAAAGUCGUAGAUAUUCGGAGGAACACCAGUGGCGAAGGCGGCUCACUGGCUCGAUACUGACGCUGAGGUGCGAAAGCGUGGGGAGCAAACAGGAUUAGAAACCCCAGUAGUCC
rnacentral:rRNA from 1 species